UUAGGUUUUUUUUCUUCAUAUCGUUUAUUGUCAAUUUUCCAUGAUUUAGGGCUUUUUUAGCUCAAAAUUUUUUUUUACUCACCAUUGAUAUAUAUAUAUAUAUAUAUAAACCAUCAACAAUGGCAGCAGGAGCACCAGCAUAGUCGCCUAAAAUUCCCAACUUUCAAUAGUUGAUUGGUUAUCUUGAAAUAAAUGGGGGUACCUUUUAGUUGUCUAUUUAUAUCGGCCUUCAUUUUGCAGUCAGUAUAUGCUUUGAUGUAUAACAAUUGACCCUUUUAUAUGAUCCGCGAGCUGGUAAGAUCGCCGGUGAGCUAUUAUGGACCCUUUCUGUCGCUUUCCUGUGAAUAUGACAUUAUGACCCCUUUUCGUCUGUAUCUUUCCGAUGUAACUGUGGAUCUUUUUCAUCAGUGUGCUUUUCGAUGUUAUGGAACUAUGGACCCUUCUGUCACCAUGUAAAUAUGGACCCCUUCUGCUAUUGGUAAUUUGAUGUUUGUGUCCCCUUUCGCCAGUAUACUUGUUGAUGCAAGAAUAGACCCUUUAUAUCUGACUUUUGAUUGUCUUUACACCUUGAACGUGUAAUAUCAUGAUGAUGUUCCAUGUUCUAUAUAUUGAUCGAUGGUUUGGUAGUUGUCUAAUAUCUCUGCUAUGACAUGUAAAUAAUCAGUCCCUUCAGUUAGUAUGCUUUAUGAUGUAGAUGUCCCUUUUUGCUGGAUUGUUUUAUGAUGCAAGAAUCGACCCUUCCUGUCAGCGAAACAUAUACUAAUUUUGUGGUCUUCACAUCUAAUAUUUACCCUAUGCUUUUAGAUGUGACCAACGGCUACUUUUUGCCAGUAUGCUUUAUGACCUGAGAAUCAACUGUCGUUUCUGUCAAGGAUUUAAUAAAUGGUCUUUAGAUGAUAGCAAUCACUUUUGUGUCAAAGUUGUCUUAUUUUAAAUGUUUGACAUGUAAACAGUCAACCUCCCUUCUCUUUUUCUGGAAGUAUGAUGAAUUGAUGAUACAGUUGUCCCUUUUUGCCUGAUGAAAGAUUCGGCUCUUUAUGUCAGUAUGCUAUCAGGCAUAAUGGUAUGGUAUUUAUGUCAGACUUGUGUUAUUGAAAUAUGUUCAUGUGUUAAUUGUUGGUUUGCCUCUAAAUACAGAGGAGAUGGACUCCGUAUAUUCACUUUGACGAGAUUCACAUUCUAGUUGGUGUAGGUCACCAAUUACACUUUCUUUUUUUGAAAAAAGAAAGUAUUCUCUGUUUUUUGUUGUUCAUUUCAUAAUAAAUUUGUUUAUCGAGUGUACUGGAGGUUCUGGUGCAGCAAUGCGUGCAGGAAUUGUAUGCUAUCAGGCAUAACGGUAUGGUAUUUACGUCAGACUUGUGUUAUUGAAAUAUGUUCAUGUGUUAAUUGUUGGUUGCCUCUAAAUACAGAGGAGAUGAACUCCGUUUAUUCAUUUUGAUGAGAUUCACAUUCUAGUUGGUGUAGGUCACCAAUUACGCUUUCUUUUUUUGAAAAAAGAAAGUAUUCUCUGUUUUUCGUUCAUUUCGUAAUAAAAUUGUUUAUCGAGUGUACUGGAGGUUCUGGUGCAGCAAUGCGUGCAGGAAUUGUUGGUGAGCUUCCACAUUAAAUCCAUAUAAAAAAGGAUCAUGCUCCAAAGAGUGUUUCGACCAGUAUUUUGUGAUCAGUCAUCUGCCAGUCUGUUGAAAAUCCAUACUACAACCUUCGUGAGUAGUUUGGACUUCAUCACGGGGUCAAAAUAUCUGAUGAUGUCUGCAGCAGUUCUUUUUAAUCGAUACAAAGCAGAAUGUUUUUUGCCUGAUAAAGGCACCUUGGACCAAACGGAUCGAGCAGUGUUGAGUGUUGACACUUGAGAUGGAGAAAAUAUCUCUAGAAAGCUAGUCUCAUAAAGCAUCCAAAAAAGAUCUGACUGAGAUUGAAAGUCAUUUAGAAUCCUUGAAAGCGAAACUAGUUCACUUACCAAUGGAAGCGUGAAAGCAUGCUGACGGCCAGUAAAAAAAGAGGUGAUUAACACACUCUUAAUUCAGGUAACAUCAAUUGCGGAGGCAAUUUCAUCCAGUUUACUUACCAACAGGUCAAUUUGGGUUGUGUUUAUGUAAAUGGUUCAAAUUAUAAGCAUAGCUUAAAAGUGAAGAAGUUGUUGCCCAAAGCCCCAAAGUCUAUAAUAAUGCAUAUACUUAUCUGCUAAUUCAACUAUAUCCAAGGAUUUAGAUCAUUAUUGACAUAGUA